rnacentral:rRNA from 1 species
AAGUCCCGCAACGAGCGCAACCCACGUCCUCAGUUGCCAUCAUUCAGUUGGGCACUUUGAGGGGACUGCCGGUGAUAAGCCGAGAGGAAGGUGGGGAUGACGUCAAGUCCUCAUGGCCCUUACGGGAGGGGUUACACACGUGUUACAAUGGCGGUGACAGUGGGAAGCGAGACGGGGAGGUUGAGCAAAUCCCCAAAAGCCGUCUCAGUUCGGAUUGCA